UCUUAUGGCUGAGAACAGCAACUUGUUUCUUGAGAUGGAAUCUACUCCUGGUGAAGAUGCUAUGAU
rnacentral:pre_miRNA from 1 species